AAAAUGUGUACCAGAGAAAAAUUCUUCGGAAUUGGAGAAAUUUUUUGAAGACAAGAAAUGUCAGUGAAGGCCCAUGGACGAUCCAAAUUGCAAGACACAAUCUGCAGCAGGACGAUUCUAGUUGUGGUGUCUUAAUUUUGAUGUUUGCAGAGCUCAUUCUCCAAGGUAGAAGUAUCAACGUUGCUCAAACAGACACAGAGGAGGUCUUAGCCACAAGAGUCAAAAUUGCAGCCACUCUUCUGGAAUGCAAAGACGGUGUGGAAGAUCUCUGUGUUUCCUGCAACAUGUUACACUUUGAUGCUGAGGAGGAUUUCACAGAGAUGGUGCAGUGUGACAUAUGCUCAAGAUGGACGCACAAGCAGUGUACCCCUGCAACCCUUGCCUCUGAGCAUUUUAAGUGUAAAAAGUGUGUGUUAAAUGAAAAAUGUUUGCCUCAAACUGUUUGCAAAGUUCUAUGUUGUACGUAUUGUUCAAUGUGUACCAAAUUUGUAUUAAAAAAUAAUUUUCAA